rnacentral:rRNA from 1 species
UACGGGGGGGGGUAAGCGUUGUUCGGAAUUACUGGGCGUAAAGGGCUCGUAGGCGGCCAACUAAGUCGGACGUGAAAUCCCUCAGCUUAACUGGGGAACUGCGUCUGAUACUGGAUGGCUUGAAUUCGGGAGAGGGAUGCAGAAUUCCAGGUGUAGCGGUGAAAUGCGUAGAUAUCUGGAGGAAUACCGGUGGCGAAGGCGGCAUCCUGGACCGAGAUUGACACUGAUGAGCGAAAGCUAGGGGAGCAAACGGG